GGGUCAAUGAGAACCUUAUAUUGUCCUGAAGAGAGGUGAUAACUUAAAAAUCAUGCUCAAUAAUAGGAUUACGCUGAGGCCC
ensembl:snoRNA SNORD115-7 small nucleolar RNA, C/D box 115-7